rnacentral:rRNA from 1 species
AUCNGGCUUACCAUGCAAGUCGAGGGGCAGCAUUUCAGUUUGCUUGCAAACUGGAGAUGGCGACCGGCGCACGGGUGAGUAACACGUAUCCAACCUGCCGAUAACUCGGGGAUAGCCUUUCGAAAGAAAGAUUAAUACCCGAUGGNAUAAUCAGACCGCAUGGUCUUAUUAUUAAAGAAUUUCGGUUAUCGAUGGGGAUGCGUUCCAUUAGGCAGUUGGUGAGGUAACGGCUCACCAAACCUUCGAUGGAUAGGGGUUCUGAGAGGAAGGUCCCCCACAUUGGAACUGAGACACGGUCCAAACUCCUACGGGAGGCAGCAGUGAGGAAUAUUGGUCAAUGGGCGCAGGCCUGAACCAGCCAAGUAGCGUGAAGGAUGACUGCCCUAUGGGUUGUAAACUUCUUUUAUAUGGGAAUAAAGUUUUCCACGUGUGGAAUUUUGUAUGUACCAUAUGAAUAAGGAUCGGCUAACUCCGUGCCAGCAGCCGCGGUAAUACGGAGGAUCCGAGCGUUAUCCGGAUUUAUUGGGUUUAAAGGGAGCGUAGGUGGACAGUUAAGUCAGUUGUGAAAGUUUGCGGCUCAACCGUAAAAUUGCAGUUGAUACUGGCUGUCUUGAGUACAGUAGAGGUGGGCGGAAUUCGUGGUGUAGCGGUGAAAUGCUUAGAUAUCACGAAGAACUCCGAUUGCGAAGGCAGCUCACUGGACUGCAACUGACACUGAUGCUCGAAAGUGUGGGUAUCAAACAGGAUUAGAUACCCUGGUAGUCCACACAGUAAACGAUGAAUACUCGCUGUUUGCGAUAUACAGUAAGCGGCCAAGCGAAAAGCAUUAAGUAUUCCACCUGGGGGAGUACGCCGGCAACGGUGAAACUCAAAGGAAUUGACGGGGGCCCGCACAAGCGGAGGAACAUGUGGUUUAAUUCGAUGAUACGCGAGGAACCUUACCCGGGCUUAAAUUGCAUUUGAAUAAUNUGGAAACAGGUUAGCCGCAAGGCAAAUGUGAAGGUGCUGCAUGGUUGUCGUCAGCUCGUGCCGUGAGGUGUCGGCUUAAGUGCCAUAACGAGCGCAACCNUUAUCUUUAGUUACUAACAGGUCAUGCUGAGGACUCUAGAGAGACUNCCGUCGUAAGAUGUGAGGAAGGUGGGGAUGACGUCAAAUCAGCACGGCCCUUACGUCCGGGGCUACACACGUGUUACAAUGGGGGGUACAGAAGGCAGCUACCUGGUGACAGGAUGNUAAUCCCAAAAGCCUCUCUCAGUUCGGAUCGAAGUCUGCAACCCGACUUCGUGAAGCUGGAUUCGCUAGUAAUCGNGCAUCAGCCAUGGCGCGGUGAAUACGUUCCCGGGCCUUGUACACACCGCCCGUCAAGCCAUGAAAGCCGGGGGUACCUGAAGUACGUAACCGCAAGGAGCUCCUAGGA